GGGACAAACAAAAAACGGGCCUGCCUCUCAACAAGCUUAUGAACGGAAAGAGCACAAACAAAAUGAACAGCUAAUCUGGUAGGUCACAGAGAAAAAUGCAGAAUAUCACAAAGGAAAGAGAUCCAUCUCUGGGGCUGUCAAGAGUGCAGAGAACUGACACCUGACCUGGCUCGAAAGGGGAAACAGUGGUCCUCAGGAAGCCUCCUGGGCAGGGGAGGAACAGUGGAGAGAGGGGGAAGAAGGGGCCUUUUUUGGAAUCAAAGCAAGCAGCAGGUGCAAAGCAAUAGAGGAAAGACAUAGUAUCUCAUCCUGAAACACACGCAGUCAGCGUUCCUGGCGAAUUUGAUGGCAAGAGACAGAAAAUGAGGAGGUGGCUGCUGUGAAAGAAGCCGGUACAGGUGAGGGCGCUGAGCCACGGGGACCACCUGGACCACUCUCAGCCCCAGUACCGCCAGCAGCAGGAGGCGGGGGAUGCUUCCUGAAGAGACCUGGUCACAUGUGCAUGUUGGAGCGAGAUCUCAGGAUGAUAGCAAGAUCAUGAAGAAGAGGAUUAUGCAACCUGAGCCCCAAGAUGUAAAAGGCUUAGCGACUGUAUAAGGAAGAACUAAUUGAAGACAAGAAGGAAUGUGCAGUGAUGUACAUUAAUGCUGUGGCAAGACCUAUUAAAGAAAAAAUUGACAUCAUGUCAAAAUUGGACCAAUUCACAGCCUCCUGAGUGGUCUCCUUGCCUCUGGACUUCAAUCUUUCCACAAGAACAUUCCCCUCUGCAAAAGGCUACUAUAGGAAUCAACCUGAAGCCAGGCAUCCUUGCAAUCCCAGUACUCAGGAGGCAAAGAGAGAAGUACAUCUGAGUUUGACUUCAGUGUAAACUAUGUAGUGAGACUGUAUAAAUAAAUAAAUAAAUAAAUAAGAUUAUUGACUAUUCUUUCAGUGAAAUUCUGUAAUGUGGAGAUUAUCUGAUCAUGUAGGGCUCUUCAACUGCCAGGUGUGGUGGCACAUGCCUACAGUCCCAAAAUUUGGGAGGGUGGAAGAUCUGUGCAAGUUCCAAUCUACCCUACAAUGCAUAGUGAAUUCAGAGUCAACCUGAACUUCAUAGUGGGAUCUUGUCUCAAAAAGACAAAAGACAAAGCCAGGUGUGGUGGCGCUUGCCUAUAAUCCCAGCACUCAGGAGGCUGAGGCAGGAGGAUCGUUCAGAGUUUGAAUCCAUUCUGGAGUACAAAAUGAGCUCAAACCCAGCCUGAACUACAUAGCAGGACCCUGUCUCAAAAAAAAAAAAAAGACAAAAGACACAGGACUUAUAUCUAGAACAGAGAAAGAGCCAAUCCAAAAACGAGCACCUGAGAACACACACUUCUCAGAUGAAGAAAUACAAAUAGCAAAUUAAAAUAUGAAAAAAUGGUCAACAUCAUUGGUCAUUCAAGAAAUGGAAGCUGGGCAUGGUGGCACAUGCCUGUAAUCCCAGCACUGAGGAGGCUGAGGCAGAAGGAUCAUUACGAGUUCAAGGCCAGCUUGGACUACAAAGUGAGCUCAAGGCCAGUCUGAACAGCAUAGUGAAACCUUGUCUCAAAAAGAUGGAAAAAAAAAAGAGAAGUGCAAAUUAAAACAACACCGAGGUUCCAUUUCUCUUCAGAAAGAAUGGUUACCAUCAAGAAAUCAACCAAUAACAAAUGCUGGUGAGGCUCUGGGGAAAAAGGAACUCUUCUUCACUGUUGAUGUGAAUACAGACUCGUGCAACCACUGUGAAAAUCAGUGCAUAGAUUCCUCAAAAAACUAGGAGUAGAGGUCCCAUUCAAACCAGCUAUUCCCCUUCUGGUUGUUUUCCCAGAAGAAUUGAAAGCAUCAUACCGCAGCGAUAUAUGUGCACCCAUGUUUAUAGCAGCACAAUUUGUCAUAGUUAAAUCUUGGAAAUAAUCCAAAUGCCCAUCAACUGAGAAAUGGAUAGAAAAGAUGUGGUAUUUUUAUACAAUAGAGUAUUACUCAGCUAUGAAGAAGGAUAAAGUUGAGACAUUUAUAGAGAAACAGAUGCAACUAGAAACCGUACUCAUAAGUGAAAUAAAUCAGACUUGCAUGUAUAAAUAUCAUAGUCUCCCUAGUGUAAGAAGCUGAAAGAGUAUAUAAGAUCCAAAAUGUACAAUAGAUAUUGUGCAUAGGAAGAAACUGUUCAAAAGGAAAAAAAAACUGGGAUAGGGGAAAGGAGAAAAGGAAGGGAAAAGGAAAAAAUACACACACAAUUAAUUAACAACCCCAGUUGAGAUAGUUAUACUGCUAAUUGCUAUUAGUUCAUUGAAAAGAAAGGUUUGUACCUAUAUUUUUGAUCAAUUUUUCAUUUCUAUAUCUUGUAAUAUGAGCAACUACUUUGACGAUAACAAUAUGCAGUGUACUGACUAUUGU
ensembl:lincRNA